AUUGAACGCUGGCGGCAUGCCUUACACAUGCAAGUCGAACGGCAGCACGGGGCAACCUGGUGGCGAGUGGCGAACGGGUGAGUAAUGCAUCGGAACGUGCCAUUGAGUGGGGGAUAACGUAGCGAAAGUUGCGCUAAUACCGCAUAUUCUGUGAGCAGGAAAGCAGGGGACCGCAAGGCCUUGCGCUCUUUGAGCGGCCGAUGUCAGAUUAGCUAGUUGGUGAGGUAACGGCUUACCAAGGCGACGAUCUGUAGCGGGUCUGAGAGGAUGAUCCGCCACACUGGAACUGAGACACGGUCCAGACUCCUACGGGAGGCAGCAGUGGGGAAUUUUGGACAAUGGGCGCAAGCCUGAUCCAGCCAUGCCGCGUGAGUGAAGAAGG
rnacentral:rRNA from 1 species